UCCGGCUUAGCUCAGUUGGUAGAGCGCUUCGACUGUUAAUCAAGAUGUCGUCAGUUCGAGUCUGACAGCCGGAG
rnacentral:tRNA from 1 species